ensembl:ribozyme RNaseP_nuc Nuclear RNase P
GGCAGAGGAAGCUCACCAGCAGGACCACUUGCUGAGUUCCCUUCACUCUUAGGCCCCUGGAAAGGUUUGAGACUGAGGCCUCCUGCACCCUAACUGCUCUUCUGAGCUGGGAGGUGAGCUUGCAGAGAGCAGGGCUCCAUGCUUGGGCAGACUGGGCAUGAGAAGCCCUGAGUGGGCAGAUGCCUCCCUCGCCAGAGCUUAGACUUUCUAUUUCAUCCAACUUUUCUCUGCAUUCUGGUUCUCUCUGUGAGUUCCUUAAACAUGCCUGUGUGAGGUUGCCUAGAUUAAUUUCAAUUUCAUUCU